rnacentral:lncRNA from 1 species
CUUCAUCUUCAUCUUCUUCGAAUUCGGAACCUUAGUAUGGGUGAAAUCCAUUGCUUCGAUAUUACGAUUUAUGGACAAUAGAAAAAUGGUGGUUGCAAUUGUUACAGAUUCUCAAAAUUUCCCAACAGCAAUUAUGGAGGGUUAGGUAGAGAUUUUAAAAUUGAAAUAACCAUAAAAAUAAAAUAGAGGAGUUGGGAAAAUUGACAAAAGGCUUAACGGAUCUCACAAAUGUGUUGAGCGGCAAGACAACCUAGCAUUUUCGUCUUGAAUUUUGACUGCUUUGGGUGUGGCUCUGAGCUCAGAUUGGACAAAGGAGAUUUCCAAGGGGUAGAGAGAGAGAGAGAGAGAGGAGAUCGGGAGCUAAAAGGGAAAGUGAAAGUGAAAAGAUAAGGCUGAAAGUAUUUGGAAAACGAUAAGACAGAAAAAUGCUUGAUGUUUGUUCCACAUAUGGAACAAUGAAA